rnacentral:rRNA from 1 species
UCGGAGUUGAAGCAAUGUGACUGAGCGGCGGACGGGUGAGUAACGCGUGGGGAACCUGCCCUGGAGCGGGGGAUAACAUCUGGAAACAGGUGCUAAUACCGCAUAACAACGAAAACCACAUGGUUUUCGUUUCAAAGAUGGUUUCGGCUAUCACUUCAGGAUGGGCCCGCGGUGCAUUAGCUAGUUGGUAGGGUAACGGCUUACCAAGGCAAUGAUGCAUAGCCGAGUUGAGAGACUGAUCGGCCACAAUGGAACUGAGACACGGUCCAUACUCCUACGGGAGGCAGCAGUAGGGAAUCUUCCACAAUGGGCGCAAGCCUGAUGGAGCAACACCGCGUGAGUGAAGAAGGGUUUCGGCUCGUAAAGCUCUGUUGUUGGAGAAGAACGUGCGUGAGAGUAACUGUUCACGCAGUGACGGUAUCCAACCAGAAAGUCACGGCUAACUACGUGCC